rnacentral:rRNA from 1 species
CGGCGGACGGGUGAGUAAUGCCUAGGAAUCUGCCUGGUAGUGGGGGAUAACGUUUCGAAAGGAACGCUAAUACCGCAUACGUCCUACGGGAGAAAGUGGGGGAUCUUCGGACCUCACGCUAUCAGAUGAGCCUAGGUCGGAUUAGCUAGUUGGUGGGGUAAUGGCCCACCAAGGCGACGAUCCGUAACUGGUCUGAGAGGAUGAUCAGUCACACUGGAACUGAGACACGGUCCAGACUCCUACGGGAGGCAGCAGUGGGGAAUAUUGGACAAUGGGCGAAAGCCUGAUCCAGCCAUGCCGCGUGUGUGAAGAAGGUCUUCGGAUUGUAAAGCACUUUAAGUUGGGAGGAAGGGCAGUAAGUUAAUACCUUGCUGUUUUGACGUUACCAACAGAAUAAGCACCGGCUAACUUCGUGCCAGCAGCCGCGGUAAUACGAAGGGUGCAAGCGUUAAUCGGAAUUACUGGGCGUAAAGCGCGCGUAGGUGGUUCAGCAAGUUGGAUGUGA